ensembl:rRNA 5S_rRNA 5S ribosomal RNA
GUCUACAGUCAUACCACUCUGAAUGUGCCUGACGUCAUCUGAUCUCUAAAAGCUAAGCGGGGCGGGGCCUGGUUAGUACUUGGAUGGGAGAAGAGUGAUGCUGGCAGACCUGGAAUGUAGAUA